rnacentral:rRNA from 1 species
CCCUUAGAUGUCCUGGGCCGCACGCGCGCUACACUGAGUGUCUGAGAUACGAGUCUGCCUGGUCCGGCAAGGUCUAGGUAAUCGCUAAAAGACACAUCAUGCUUGGGAUAGAUUAUUGCAAAUAUUAAUCUUGAACGAGGAAUUCCUAGUAAGCGCAAGUCAACAGCUUGCGUUGAUUACGUCCCUGCCCUUUGUACACACCGCCCGUCGCUACUACUGAUUGGAUGUUUAAGCGAGGUUCUCGAACUGCUAGCGACUUAGCUUCGGUGAGGUCGCAGUGUGGGAAGUGAACCCAGCUUUGGUGUCUAGAGGAAGUAAAAGUCGUAACA